GACGAACGCUGGCGGCGCGCUUAACACAUGCAAGUCGAGCGAGAACCGGUCCUUCGGGACCGGGGAAAGCGGCGAACGGGUGAGUAACACGUGGGUAAUCUGCCCUCGGUUUCGGGAUAGCCCGGGGAAACCCGGAUUAAUACCGAAUGGCCCUUUCGGUCUUCGGAUUGAAAGGAAAAGGUAGCUUCGGCCUCCGACAGAGGAUGAGCCCGCGGCGGAUUAGCUUGUUGGGGGGGUAACGGCCUACCAAGGCGACGAUCCGUAGCUGGUCUGGGAGGACGAUCGGCCACACUGGGACUAAGACACGGCCCAGACUCCUACGGGAGGCAGCAGUGGGGAAUCUUGCGGAAUGGGCGAAAGCCUGACGCAGCGACGCCGCGUGCGGGAAGAAGGCCUUCGGGUUGUAAACCGCUUUCAGGUGGGACGAAGCCACUCGGGUGAAUAGCCCAGAGGGUGACGGUACCUCCAGAAGAAGUCCCGGCUAACUACGUGCCAGCCGCCGCGGUAA
rnacentral:rRNA from 1 species